rnacentral:rRNA from 1 species
UACGAAGGGGGCUAGCGUUGUUCGGAAUUACUGGGCGUAAAGGGCGCGCAGGCGGCUCUUCAAGUCAGAUGUGAAAGCCCCGGGCUCAACCUGGGAACUGCAUUUGAGACUGGAGAGCUCGAGUUCGGGAGAGGAGAGCGGAAUUCCCAGUGUAGAGGUGAAAUUCGUAGAUAUUGGGAAGAACACCGGUGGCGAAAGCGGCGCACUGGACCACAACUGACGCUGAGGCGCGAAAGCUAGGGGAGCAAACAGG